GUAGGUGGCAAGCGUCGUCCGGAAUUAUUGGGCGUAAAGCGCGCGCAGGCGGGGGUUUUUAAGUCUGAUGUGAAAGCCCACGGGCUCAACCGUGGAGGGUCAUUGGAAACUGGAGAACUUGAGUACAGAAGAGGAAAGCGGAAUUCCACGUGUAGCGGUGAAAUGCGUAGAGAUGUGGAGGAACACCAGUGGCGAAGGCGGCUUUCUGGUCUGUAACUGACGCUGAGGCGCGAAAGCGUGGGGAGCAAACAGGAUUAGAUACCCUGGUAGUCCACGCCGUAAACGAUGAGUGCUAAGUGUUAGGGGGUUUCCGCCCCUUAGUGCUGCAGCUAACGCAUUAAGCACUCCGCCUGGGGAGUACGGCCGCAAGGCUG
rnacentral:rRNA from 1 species